UACCAAAGAAUGAAUUUCAUCGAAAACCAGGACUCCAAUUAAAAUGUCAAUGGGUCCUGGUUUUCGAUGAAAUUCAUUCUUUGGCA